rnacentral:lncRNA from 1 species
GGCACAGUACCCAUCAUCAAGAAGAUUCAGAUCUGAUGAAGAGAAAAUGAUACGUAUGCUGAUAAAUAAUAACAGUAUCUUUAUAGUAUUUUAAGAUUUAUAAAACAUUUUACAAGUAUUAGCACAUCCUCACAACCACUCUGGGAGGGAAAUGCUACUCUGAUCUCCAUUCUACAGAUAAGAAACUGAGGCAGAAGUGAAGACACUUGCCCAGGAUCACACAGUUAGUAUCUUGAGGUUAGAUUCUGACUCCCAAUCCAGCACUCUACCCACCAAUCAAGUAACAUGAAAGAAAGUUCAUUUUCACUUUGAAAUCAAGGAAGAAAGGCGAUUUCAUAGGGAAGGUAGCAUUCAAGCUAGGCCAUUGGGGAUGGACAGUAUCAAAAGGCAUAGUGAUGGACAAGGGAUAAUAUCAGGCACGGGAAACAAUAUUAGCAAAGGUGUCAAGAGGUCAGGAAACAGGGUGACACUGAGCUGGAAUACAGAUUACGACAGAUUAUGUCAGUGGGAAGAUAAAGCUGGAAACGGAGAAGCGCCUGGUUGGGUAGAACCUUGAAUACCAGUCCCAAGAUGUUUCAUCUUUUUAGGGGGGCAAUGGGAAAGCCCAUUCUCUCUCAACAGUCCUGGUUGCUGCCAUACCAGAAUCAGAUAUCUGAUUACAUCAGAAAAGUAGAAAAUUGGUGUUCAGUUCAUUUGAUUAAUGGUCUAAUGCUCUCAGGUAGCUUGCUGGGCUUCAGUGAUAUUGUGUGUGUAAGAAAGGAGGGCUCUCUGACAUGACAAAGAGCUGGUCUUUUAUGGUCCCAGGCAGGAAGGAGAGGUCUGAGUUGGUUCUUUACCCACUUUUCAGAGAGCAGCUGAAGCUUAUGUGCAGAGGUAAGGUUUCAUUAUAACAAUUUAUAUAGCACAUUAUAUUUAUUGAGAAUUCCAAAGUACUGAUUAUAUUUGAAUUUGUAUUGUAUUUUUUUGGUGAGGCUCUUAGUGUAGUGACAAGAAAGCCAGCCUUAAAGCCAACAAAAGCUAGGGUCAAUCUUGCCUCUGACAUAUGGUGGCUAUGUGACUCGGGGCAAGUCCCUUAACCUCUGGUGUUUUGGGGUAGAGAAGGGGCCAGUCUGUCCUGGCAGCUGUCUCAUCCAGGACUUCUCUAGACCCAUGAGCUAUUAGGUCCAAUUCCCGUUAUCCGUGUACAUCUCAG